rnacentral:rRNA from 1 species
UACGGGGGUGCAAGCGUUGUUCGGAUUUAUUGGGCGUAAAGCGCGUGUAGGCGGUUUUAUAAGUCUGAUGUGAAAGCCCCGGGCUCAACCUGGGAAGUGCAUUGGAUACUGUAGGACUUGAAUACGGGAGAGGGCAGUGGAAUUCCUGGUGUAGGAGUGAAAUCCGUAGAUAUCAGGAGGAACACCGGUGGCGAAGGCGGCUGCCUGGACCGAUAUUGACGCUGAGACGCGAAAGCGUGGGUAGCAAACAGG